UAUAAAUUGAAAAAAUCAAUUGUAUAUUCCAAAUAAAAUUAUGAACUCAAGUCUAAAUAGUUUAUAGUUUAUCUAAUUAACCAAUACAUGUGCAGACUGACAUUUCAUAUCAUAUUUUUCAGGAAUGAUACAUGCAGGAAUUUGUGCCACACAUUUCAACAAUUUCCUUAAUGGAUUGAAUGUACUUUCUGUGAAUUCAUCAGCCAUACUUAAAGAAAAAGGAGAAUUAAACUGGAAAGAAAAUAUUUGCAGUUGCAAAAGAAUCCUGUAAAUAAAUUCAAAAGAAGAAACAGUUUUAAACAUGGUUAAUUUAAUGAAUAAUUGGAAGGUAAUUAAACCUUUAGUCAUAUAAUUUCAUAUUUUUUGAUAAUUUUCCUAAGUAGAUAUAAAGUAUAAUGAGGACCAUAAUUAUAUUCAUAUUUGCACUUAAGCAGUCAUAAAAAUGAAUUAACAGAUCUUGGUAAUAAUUUCAAGUUUAGGGUCAAUAUUUCAAAUCAAUUUUGUGGUAAAGCAUUGUUAUAUAUACUUGAAGACUUUCAUGUAUAGAACAUGACAGAAUUUGUUUCAACAAAAAUAUUGAACUAGAAUUAGUUACAUAUGUAUAAUUUAUUAAAUGAAAUCUAUAUUAAUGUAUAAUUUCAACAAAUUUAAUGAAACCUAUUUGGUUUUGAAAGCCUUUAUACAUAUUAUUAUUACAAAUUUCAUUGUUAACAGCCUGAGUUUCCAGUUAAUUUUAAAUGUAAUAUGUUUUAGCUAUAGUAUUUGAACACUGCAUGCACUUUCAUUUAUAUAUAUUUGUUAUCACUUUUUUUCAUUAGGUUGAAGCUAGUUAUGUUGCAGAAUUGCAAAUGUUUGGUACUGGUUGAAACUAUGAAAGUAAUACAGGUAAAUUUAAAGAAUUUAGACUUUAACUUUAUUAAUAGAAAAGAUAUUCCCAAAUGUCAAGGUGAAAGUGGACAUUGUAGAUUCUAAACACCCAUGUGAAAGCAACAGUCUUCUAUGGUGAGAGGAUGCCAUACUUAGCAAAUGCUCUUGUUAUUAUAUGGAAUAUGGCUUUUUUUAUCAUUAUUUUCACUAUUUUGAUAUUCAAACAACCAACAUUGAUAACAAGUAAUAUAAAACUCUCACUUUUUAUGAAUCCUAUAUCUGAUUAUAUUAAUUUACUUAUUUAAUUUUUGUUAUAUUUGUUAUCAAUUGUAGGUCUCAUGGUCAUCAUUUAACAGCAGGUUAUUAGCAGCAGUUUUGUAGAAAAAUGAAGGAUGACUGUCAAUGGUAAAUACA
rnacentral:lncRNA from 1 species